AUGCUAUUGAAGGCAAACUUCCAUGUUGUUCUAUAUGAGUGCAUCGCAGUAUUGGAUGUCUUAUUGUGCCUGGCUGACUACAGUCGAGGCCCUAUGUGUCGUCCAGUAAUUCUGUUGCCAGAAGAAGGCACUCCUCCCUUCUUAGACCUUAGAGGAUCAUGUCAUCCCUGCAUUACGAAGACUUUUUUUGGAGAUGACUUUAUACCUAAUGACAUUCUAAUAAGCUGUGAGGAAGGGGCAGAGGAGGAAAAUGGCAAAGCUUAUUGUGUGCUUGUGACUGGACCUAACAUGGGGGGCAAGUCUACACUCAUGAGACAUGCUGGCCUAUUAGCUGUAAUGGCCCAAACAGGUUGUUACAUACCUGCUGAAGUGUGUAGACUCACACCAAUUGAUAGAGUAUUUACUAGACUUGGUGCCUCCGACAGAAUAAUGUCAGGUGAAAGUACGUUUUUUGUUGAACUGAGUGAAACUGCCAGUAUAGUUACGCAUGCAACAGCACAUUUUCUGGUGCUUGUGGAUGAAUUAGGAAGAGGUACUGCAACAUUUGAUGGAACAGCAAUAGCAAAUGCGUUGUCAAAGAACUUGCUGAGAACAUAAAGUGUCGUACAUUGUUUUCUACCCACUACCAUUCAUUAGUGGAAGAUUAUUCCCAAAAUGUUGCAGUGCGCCUGGGCCACAUGGCAUGCAUGGUAGAAAAUGAAUGUGAGGAUCCCAGCCAGGAGACUAUUACCUUCCUCUAUAAAUUCAUUAAGGGAGCUUGUCCUAAAAGCUAUGGCUUUAAUGCAGCGAGGCUUGGUAAUCUUCCAGAGGAGGUUAUUCAAAAGGGACAUAGAAAAGCAAGAGAAUUUGAGAAGAUCAUUCAAUCACUGCGAUUAUUUCGGGAAGUUUGCCUGGCUAGUGAAAGGUCGACUAUAGAUGCUGAAGCUGUCCCUAAAUUGCUGACUUUGAUUAAGGAAUUAUAGACUACAUUGGAAGCUUUGAGUUGGCUUUUGACACAGGUGGUAAAUUCAGACAACAUUAUGAUCUAAUUAACUUUAUUUUUUAAAAAUGAAAAAAAAAA